UUGACUGGGGCGGUCUCCUCCUAAAGAGUAACGGAGGAGCACGAAGGUUGGCUAAUCCUGGUCGGACAUCAGGAGGUUAGUGCAAUGGCAUAAGCCAGCUUGACUGCGAGCGUGACGGCGCGAGCAGGUGCGAAAGCAGGUCAUAGUGAUCCGGUGGUUCUGAAUGGAAGGGCCAUCGCUCAACGGAUAAAAGGUACUCCGGGGAUAACAGGCUGAUACCGCCCAAGAGUUCAUAUCGACGGCGGUGUUUGGCACCUCGAUGUCGGCUCAUCACAUCCUGGGGCUGAAGUAGGUCCCAAGGGUAUGGCUGUUCGCCAUUUAAAGUGGUACGCGAGCUGGGUUUAGAACGUCGUGAGACAGUUCGGUCCCUAUCUGCCGUGGGCGCUGGAGAACUGAGGGGGGCUGCUCCUAGUACGAGAGGACCGGAGUGGACGCAUCACUGGUGUUCGGGUUGUCAUGCCAAUGGCACUGCCCGGUAGCUAAAUGCGGAAGAGAUAAGUGCUGAAAGCAUCUAAGCACGAAACUUGCCCCGAGAUGAGUUCUCCCUGAGACUUUAAGUCUCCUGAAGGAACGUUGAAGACGACGACGUUGAUAGGCCGGGUGUGUAAGCGCAGCGAUGCGUUGAGCUAACCGGUACUAAUGAACCGUGAGGCUUAACCUUACAACGCCGAAG
rnacentral:rRNA from 1 species